rnacentral:rRNA from 1 species
CAGCCGCCGCGGUAAUACGGAGGGUGCAAGCGUUAAUCGGAAUUACUGGGCGUAAAGCGUGCGUAGGUGGUGGUUUAAGUCCGUUGUGAAAGCCCUGGGCUCAACCUGGGAAUUGCGGUGGAUACUGGGUCACUAGAGUGUGGUAGAGGAUAGUGGAAUUUCCGGUGUAGCAGUGAAAUGCGUAGAGAUCGGAAGGAACAUCUGUGGCGAAGGCGACUAUCUGGGCCAACACUGACACUGAGGCACGAAAGCGUGGGGAGCAAACAGGAUUAGAUACCCCGGUAGUCCCUGUCUCUUAUAC